CGGGUACAGUGUCGGGGUCGUCAUCACACACCCGUACGGGGGAAAGCCGGUGCGAAUCCGGCGCUGACCCGCAACCGUGACCCGGUCCGUCCCGGACCGGCCAGCCGGAGCGCCCCACACGGAUCGUGA
rnacentral:ncRNA from 2 species